rnacentral:rRNA from 1 species
UCGUCAGCUCGCGUCGUGAGAUGUUGGGUUAAGUCCCGCAACGAGCGCAACCCCUGCCUGUAGUAGCCAGCACGUUACGGUGGGAACUCUACAGGGACUGCCGGGGUCAACCCGGAGGAAGGUGGGGAUGACGUCAAAUCAUCAUGCCCCUUACGGCCUGGGCGACACACGUGCUACAAUGGCACAACAAAGAGACGCGAUCCCGCGAGGGGGAGCAAACCUCAAAAAUAGUGUCCCAGUUCGGACUGUAGUCUGCAACCCGACUACACGAAGCCGGAAUCGCUAGUAAUCGCGGAUCAGAAUGCCGCGGUGAAUACGUUCCCGGGUCUUGUACACACCGCCCGUCACACCAUGGGAGUCGGCAAUGCCCGAAGCCGGUGGCCUAACUGCAAAGGAGGAGCCGUCGAAGGCAGGGCUGAUGACUGGGGUGAAGUCGUAACAAGGUAGCCGUA